rnacentral:rRNA from 1 species
GAUGAACGCUGACAGAAUGCUUAACACAUGCAAGUCAACUGUGGCGGACGGGUGAGUAACGAGUAAAGAAAUUGCCUCACAGCUAGGGACAACAUUUGGAACCGAAUGCUAAUACCUGAUACUGUGAGAGAGCUUUGCGUCCCAUUAGCUAGUUAGGGAGGUAACGGCUCACCAAGGCGAUGAUGGGUGGCCGGCCUGAGAGGGUGAUCGGCCACAAGGGGACUGAGACACGGCCCUUACUCCUACGGGAGGCAGCAGUGGGGAAUAUUGGACAAUGGACCAAAGUCUGAUCCAGCAAUUCGGUGGGCACGAUGAAGUUUUCGGAAUGUAAAGUGCUUUUAGUUGGGAAGCGGUACCAACAGAAGAAGUGACGGCUAAAUACGUGCCAGCAGCCGCGGUAAUUC